CCUGGCUCAGGACGAAGUGCCUAAUACAUGCAAGUAGAACGCUGAAGGAGGAGCUUGCUUCUCUGGAUGAGUUGCGAACGGGUGAGUAACGCGUAGGUAACCUGCCUGGUAGCGGGGGAUAACUAUUGGAAACGAUAGCUAAUACCGCAUAAGAGUAGAUGUUGCAUGACAUUUGCUUAAAAGGUGCAAUUGCAUCACUACCAGAUGGACCUGCGUUGUAUUAGCUAGUUGGUGAGGUAACAGCUCACCAAGGCGACGAUACAUAGCCGACCUGAGAGGGUGAUCGGCCACACUGGGACUGAGACACGGCCCAGACUCCUACGG
rnacentral:rRNA from 1 species